AGUAAUUCUCUUAUCAUUUAAGAUCCUGAUUCAUCCUCACUGCCUGCAAUCUACUUAUUCCCCUCACCUGGUUUCCACAGGUGAGGGAACCAUCACCUUAUCGUGGUGGAGAGGUUUGUGUGUCCCUAUGAACCUGAGAGCUGUGUUGUCUGGAGCCUAGUGCUCCUGGUAGGGUCUCCCAAGGCAAAUUGGUCUCAGGUGAGGGGCCAGACUAAGAAUGGUUCAAAAACGACUUCAUGAAAGAAAGGGAAAGGAAAGGAGAGACCCUGCCCGGAGGAAGCCCGGGGCCCCCGUCUGGAGCCAGGCUCAGAGGGAGGGCCCGACAGCGAGCGCCUGGUGGCCGGGUUUGCCACGGAGCCCGGUCGGGCACAGCCCGAAGAAGCUACGUGGUGCCUCCCAUCCAUCCAUCCUGUGGGCCCACCACUCAUGGGAAAAACCGCUGGGGUCGGGUGCGCUGUCACACGGGUGGCAGUGAUGGUCAGGGACCUCGAUGGACCAGACCCGGGCAGCAGAGGCUGGCUCUGGGGACGUGGAACGUCACCUCUCUGUGGGGGAAGGAGCCGGAACUAGUGCGGGAGGUGGAUCGCUACCAGUUGGAUCUGGUGGGGCUUACCUCCACGCACAGUCUUGGCUCUGGAACCGUACUCCUGGAUAGGGGUUGGACUCUAUUCUUCUCCGGAGUUGCCCAAGGUGUGAGGCGUCGGGCCGGGGUGGGGAUACUCACUAGCCCCCGGCUGAGCGCCGCUACGUUGGAGUUUAUCCCGGUGGACGAGAGGGUCGCCUCCCUACGCCUUCGGGUUAUGGGGGGGAAAACUCUGACUGUUGUUUGUGCCUAUGCCUCAAACCGCAGUUCUGAGUAUUCGGCCUUCUUGGAGACCCUGAAUGGAGCCCUGCAGGGGGCUCCAGUAGGGGACUCCGUAGUCUUGCUGGGAGACUUCAACGCACACGUGGGAAACGAUGGAGACACCUGGAGAGGCGUGAUUGGGAGGAAGGGCCUCCCUGAUCUAAACCCGAACGGUCGUUUGUUGUUGGACUUCUGUGCUAGUCAUGGAAUGGCCAUAACAACA
rnacentral:lncRNA from 1 species